AUUGAACGCUGGCGGCAGGCCUAACACAUGCAAGUCGAACGAGUGGCGGACGGGUGAGUAAUGUCUGGGAAACUGCCUGAUGGAGGGGGAUAACUACUGGAAACGGUAGCUAAUACCGCAUACCAUCAGAUGUGCCCAGAUGGGAUUAGCUAGUUGGUGGGGUAACGACUCACCAAGGCGACGAUCCCUAGCUGGUCUGAGAGGAUGACCAGCCACACUGGAACGGAGACAGGUCCCAGAGUCCGACGGGAGGCAGCAGUGGGGAAUAUUGCACAAUGGGAGCAAGCCUGAUGCAUCCAUGCCGCGUGUGUGAAGAAGGCCUUCGGGUUGUAAAGCACUUUCAGGGAGGAGGCGUUACCCGCAGAAGAAGCACCGGCUAACUCCGUGCCAGCAGCCGCGGUAAUAC
rnacentral:rRNA from 1 species